ensembl:snoRNA U8 U8 small nucleolar RNA
UUUUCAUAUGGGAUAGUUUUCACUUGUUCCUUCCUUUGGAGGGCAGAUUAGAACACGACGAAUGUGGUUUGCACAAUACAUUAUCAACAUCUUGGAGCUGUCAGAACUUUCAAUGCCCUGAUUGCUUCUAUUUACU